AAUUAAAACUCUAACAUUCCUCCCUUUACCUCUAUCUCGUCUCUCAUCCCCCAGCUUUCUCUCUCUCUCAACUCCGGCCAUAGAAACACGCCCUCCCUCUGUCCUCCGCGGCCACAGCAACGACAGCCACCAAGCUCGUCACACUUCCCUCGUCUCCCUUCCCUCGUCUCCCUCUCCCCCAUCUCUCAAUUCUUAUGAAGAAGACACAAAGCCCCAAAUUUACUCACAAAAUCGUGCCCUAGCUGCUCCUCCGGCGAAUCGCCGCCGCCAGUGGAGGGUCGGCGAGGUGCAGCCCUUCCCUCUCUCUUCCUCUUCACUCAAUACUUCUCAUUUUCUCAAACUCCCAACCUCAAAAUCGUACCGAGCCCUAAUUAUUUCUCUCUACCUGAACCCAGCGAUGUCACCGCGGUUCCAGUUCGAUGUACCGUCGUGCCAUCGACUUGGGUUCCACAGAUUGUGUUUUGCUUCAAAGAAAAUCAGUAAGGGCUGUCGUCGACGCUAGGUCCUGAAACGGUGAGGUUCGCCGUUCUAACUUGAUGGGAACAGGGCAGUCGGGCUUCCUAAGAGCUAAGUCUUACUCUUGUCUCAUUUCUUAUCCAUUGUGAUAUAGUAUCAAUGUAAGCAUGUUGACUUCUUUGAGUAAGAAAAUAUCAGAACUUAACAUCUAUCAGUGUGAGUAUGUCGUGGCUAAAAUUUAUGUUCGAUUUGUGCUAUGUGGUCCCUUUUGCUUGUCAGUAAAAUCUGUUGAAUUUAUAAAAAAUUUACUAGGAUUUUAGGUGGUAGAAACCAUAGAUUUUGGGGAUUUUUUUUUUCUCUCAAAUUCAACAUAUAUGCGAAAGGUAAAACACCCUACUUUUUCAAGUGUCCUUAUCUCUUUGCGUCGAUGCUUAAUUAGUUCUUUUAGUUGUUUACCAAUGCAUCCAUGCACAGGUAGUCAGGUACCUCUUGUUAUUUAACCAUAAUAUUUGACCUGAAGGUGGGGAGUAAUCAUUGUUUGCAUUGCUGGAUAUCUAUUUUCUCUGAGAAUGACUAAUCUUUAGUUGCUUCAGGUUGUUUCUGCAAUGGUAAACAAUGACUUAAUGAGCAUAGCAAACACCAGGCCUCUGAAAUCAUGGAAGGAAACCCUUGCUCUCUUUUGUACAGUAUAAGUUUGAUGAUGAACGAGUGACAAAAGAAGAUAUGAAAAAGGCAUUAGAUGAGUGAAGAUGAAGUUGAGCUUGUGUGUCGGGUUCUCUCCUGAAUUAGUUGUUGCAGAUUUAUCAUAGCAGGUUGAUCAACUAGUUCUUGAGGAUUUGGUGCUAGAACAUAUAGUAUGAUAGAUUUUCGUUUUAGCUAUAACAUAGUUGGUAUUUUCAAUUUUGAAUCGAAAUAUGCAAUGAUGAUGUAUA